rnacentral:tmRNA from 1 species
GGGGACGAAAGGAUUUCGACGGGGAUUCUGAAUCACGAUAAGCGAGUAGUGGUGUAAGCCCACUUUAAUCCCUUACACGUUUUCAAAAGAAACGACAAUAAACCAGUUUUACAGGCUGCCUAAGAGCAACCCGUCUUAGUUAAGAGUACCGCGACUUAGCAUAAGGCGUCUACCAGCGGUGAACGUGAACUGUGUCUCGUUCCGGACACAGUCAUGACCUUGGAACUACCGAAAACUUUAGCCUGAUUGCCGGCGACUGUUCGGGGGAAUCUUAAAAGACAAUAUACACUCGUAGAAAGUUGUGUGGAUGGAUUUUCGGACGCGGUUUCGAUUACCGCCGUCUCCACCA